rnacentral:rRNA from 1 species
CUCGUGUCGUGAGAUGUUCGGUUAAGUCCGGCAACGAGCGCAACCCACGUCCUUAGUUGCCAGCAUUCAGUUGGGCACUCUAGGGAAACUGCCGAUGAUAAGUCGGAGGAAGGUGUGGAUGACGUCAAGUCCUCAUGGCCCUUACGGGUUGGGCUACACACGUGCUACAAUGGUAGUGACAAUGGGUUAAUCCCAAAAAGCUAUCUCAGUUCGGAUUGUUCUCUGCAACUCGAGAGCAUGAAGUCGGAAUCGCUAGUAAUCGCGUAACAGCAUGACGCGGUGAAUACGUUCCCGGGCCUU